rnacentral:rRNA from 1 species
CCAAUAGCGUAUAUUAAAGUUGUUGCAGUUAAAAAGCUCGUAGUUGAAUUUCGGGGUCAGUAGGUUGGUCAUGCCACUGGUAUGUACUGGUCUCACUGAUUCCUCCUUCCUGAUGAGCCGUAAUGCCAUUAAUUUGGUGUUGCGAGGAAUCUGGACUGUUACUUUGAAAAAAUUAGAGUGUUUAAAGCAGGCUAACGCUUGAAUACAUUAGCAUGGAAUAAUGAAAUAGGACGUUCGAUCUUAUUUUGUUGGUUUCUAAGAUUGACGUAAUGAUUAAUAGGGAUAGUUGGGGGCAUUAGU